GAACUUCCGGUGGAGCUUUCAUGGCGGCAGGACAGACUUGAUGAGGGCUCUCAGCAAGCCUCCGCUAUCUGGCGAUCGGGUAGAGCUGUGGGCUCCCCUCUUCUCAUGGAUCGAAGUGAGAAGGGACGCAAGGCCCGGAAAGCACCGUUUGAUCCGACCCUUGAGACAAACCGAGGGGAACGGGUCCGGUAGCUGAGGGAGCGCGGAUCGCGACAGCGGCAGCAGGCGUUGAGCCUGCACUAACUGCCAGCCUAGCUCCAAUUUUAACUAUCCCAAGGAAAAGACAGAUGGCAGAAGAAUGGACGGGAACUCCGCCAGGAUGUCUUUUGCGAAGCAAUGGAAAAUGGAGGAAAUUCCGAAAAAAGAACUAUGGCUAUACAAAUUAGAAGAGAUAAAAAACAUGGACAAACUUACGUUCCUUCUGAAAGAAACCAAAGGAAAAUACACUAGAAGCAUGAAUUGGAACAAAUUGGAAGAAUAUCUUAAGAAAUGAACUGAAACAUACUUGAAAACGAUAUAAAUAGACAUUAGAAAUUUGAAUACAGUGUUAAAAUGACUAGAAGGCAAAAAAAUGGAAGAUUACUUCCCUUGUUGUUAACGUUCCCUGAAUUUUGUUACUACCCUUGAUGUGACCCCCGAUACCCCUUCCCUCACCUCCCCCCCCUUUUUUUUAGCUUUCCUCCCUCACUCCCCCCGCCCUUGGUUCUUAGGUUCUUAUUUUCUUUCCUUAUAUUGUGAUCCUUAUGUCUCUCACUUGUAUCCCCGUUUUUAAAAGUGUGCACUGUAUUUUAAAAACUAUAAAUAAAAAUUUAAAAAAUAAAAUAAAAGCUUAACAAAAAUUAGGAGCAUGGGGUUUUUGAUGGCUUUAUUUAUCUGCGCAGCCUAUAGGUCACUUUUCCCACCCGUUUCAGCAAUUCAUGCUUGCACUAAAAGUUAUUCACUGGCAUGUAUCAACACACUGACCCAGAACAAUGGAUUUGCCAACAUACUGGCUUCUUCUUAAUGGCAUCAAGUUGUGUUUAAGUAGCUUCUUAAAAAACAAACAAACACUGUCACAUCAACAAAGGCCAACUACUAAAAUGCUAAACUUCAUAUACAUAAAAAUAAAGUGUAUGCAUUAAAAGAAGCCCAAGCUCUCCCACAUAAGGUCAUU
rnacentral:lncRNA from 1 species